UCAUUUCCGAAGAAGAAGAAGAAGACAAAGAAAAAAGCAGUAGAAGAAGAAAGAGAAGAGUUUCAGAAGCUAGAUGAAAGAGUGUUUAAUGCUAAUUUUCUAUAAUGUACUUUUUUAGCCUAUUAGAUUUAGCGGUUUUUGCAUAAUUUGCGUGAAGUCGGGAUUGAAAUCCUCUAAAACUAUCAAACGGUGUGUCUUCUCAACCGUUAUAUUUUCGGUGCUAGCUAGCAGGUAUGCUAGUGGUGCUAGCUUAACAGCGAGCUUCAGACGUCAACUUUAAAAGCACCGACAUAAAAAUUAUUAUUUGUAUUGUGGUGUGACCAGAUUUUUGCCUUUGAAAGAGGAUAAUUGAGGACAUGACAACAGAAAACAUGUCUGAAUCUCCACUUGAGAUGACACAGUGGGAGGACGACUUGGACUCUCUCAAGCCAAAGAAAAAGCAGUGGUAGUUUUGACCAGACUCCCUGAUUACAAGAUCAGUGCUCUGCGCCCGCCGACGCCUGAGCAGUUCUACAGCGAAGACGAAUCCCUCAGCAGCUCUGACUCUGACACGCUGUGGGAACCAGAAGACGACUCCAGUGAUUCAGAAUUUUUAGCCCAGAAAACACCACCGGCAGGCAGCAGCAGCAGCAACAGCAACAACAAUGCUGUGCCAGAAUCCCUCCCGACAGAAUCAUCAGCUUGCGCUCAUUGCUCUCAUGAAACCACAAGGAGUCGCCCGAAUUUGCCAGAGGAAGAACUCAAAGUGGGCAUGGUUGUCUUGGCCAGAAAGAAACGCAUGAGGUGGCAUCGAGGGAAAAUAAUGGAAAUACUUCCAAAAGAACAUGGACGGUUGAAGUACAAAGUUAAUUUUGAAGAAAAGGGAAAGAGUGUAGUAUCUGGACACCACAUCGCCUUUGACAAAACGCCCAAGCUGGAGCAGCUGUACGUCGGCGCCCGUGUGGUGGUUCCAUGUCAAAACAGCAAGUUCUGGUUCCGGCCUGGUGUUUUGUGUGAGCUCCCCAGCAGAAAGAACCGCUUAAGGUUCUUGGUCUUUAUGGAUGAUCACACACCCGUCUAUGUUGGUUUACCUUCCCUUCACCUGGUGUGCAGACCAUUAAGAGAUGUCGUCGAUGACAUUCCAGACAGCCCUCACAAGUGCUUCAUGAAACAGUACCUUCAAGACUGGCCGUACCCUCGUUUAACCCACUACAGGGCUGGACAGAACCUUAAUGUAGAAUUACACGGGGAGCAGCAGAGGUGUGAAGUGCAGCAGGUUGACAGCAGCUUGAUGCAGGUCAUUUUUCAGGAUAAUCAACGCAGGGAGUGGAUCUACCGAGGCUCCAUACGACUGGAGCACAUGGCUCUUUUUUGGAGCUGAAAGACAGGGGAGAGCCCCGGGACGGCUCUGACUAAUUAGAGGGCCACACAGACAGUUUAGUCUUCUGCCAACACCAGCGCCAAUGUCAGUGCAGUUUUCAACAAAGUCGUCCAAGUUUUGUGAAAUUUGUUGCGCAGGUUUUGCACAGUCUUGCUGACAGAUAAAAGGUUUGCCAGACACCUAACCCCUAAAUUGCUCCUGAUGGGUCGUGAUUAGCACCUUGCAUGGCAGCUCCCGCCAUCAGUCUGUGAAUUGCUUGUGUUGUACGUCGCUUUGGACAAAAGCAUCUGCUAAAUGAAAUUGUAGAAUUGACAGAUGAUAAUAUCUGUCACCAUGGAGGGAUGUGCAGUUUAAUUUUUUGUUGAAAUAUAAAUGGACUAUAUCAGCCCAAAGUAUGAUUUAAUUUAUUGAGAAUGACUCAAGCAUAUCUGCACCAUAUUCCAAAUGGUUCCUUUUUUAUCCCCCGCCUCCACGAAGUGGAAAAGGGGGAUAUAGGUUUGGCCUCCGUGCCUGCGUCCGUCCGUCUGUCCGUGCGUCCGAGAUGAAGGGGACAGCUUUUCUCGGAAACUAUUACAGCUAGGAUUAUGAAAUUUAGUGUGUAGCUUCACACCAUGGACACCUUGAACAAGUUCGAAAAUGAGACCUGUGCGAUAAUAUUUAACAGAGUUAUGGCCCUUGAUCACUAUUUUGGAUAUAGACUCAUAGACAUCGCAUGUGGCGGGGGAUAUUGAUGACCAUGUCGUCUUGUUUGGUUUUGGUUUAAUUCAUUGUAUUGUUGUGUAAAAUAAAAUAUUUGAUACUA